rnacentral:rRNA from 1 species
GAUGAACGCUGGCGGCGUGCUUAACUCAUGCAAGUCGAACGGAAAGGCCCAAGCUUGCUUGGGUGCUCGAGUGGCGAACGGGUGAGUAACACGUGGGUGAUCUGCCCUGCACUUUGGGAUAAGCCUGGGAAACUGGGUCUAAUACCGGAUAGGACCAUCGUUUAGUGUCGGUGGUGGAAAGUUUUUCGGUGUGGGAUGAGCUCGCGGCCUAUCAGCUUGUUGGUGGGGUAAUGGCCUACCAAGGCGUCGACGGGUAGCCGGCCUGAGAGGGUGUACGGCCACAUUGGGACUGAGAUACGGCCCAGACUCCUACGGGAGGCAGCAGUGGGGAAUAUUGCACAAUGGGCGCAAGCCUGAUGCAGCGACGCCGCGUGGGGGAGGACGGCCUUCGGGUUGUAAACUCCUUUCGCCAAGGACGAAGCGUUUUGUGACGGUACUUGGAGAAGAAGCACCGGCUAACUACGUG